AAGACUGUGCUUCACAGGAUCAUUUCUGUAGGCUAGUUUUCAGCUUUUCCUUACCUAAAGGAAACAGUACCCACCCACGAUGACGAGAUGGAGUGUCUGCCCUGGAGCGUGAAACAAGCAGUUUCUGGCCGCGUCUCUGACGUGCCGUUCUGCCUUUGAUGAUCGGUUCCGAUACAAGGGGUAGACACAAUCUGAGUGGU